AUGGCACAGGAUCGAGCACACUACUCUCUCCACCGAGCCGGGCCGCCUAACCUGGAAGUGGGGCGCGAACGGCAUCUACUCCGCCAGAUCAGCCUACCUUGCCACAUUCCACGGCUCCAACUCUUGAGACGCAUGGAAGCUCACCUGGAAGUGCUGGGCGCCCCCGCGUGUCAGGUUCUUCCACUGGCUCGCACAUCUGGAUCGUUGCUGGACAGCGGACCGCCUCGCCCGCCGCGACUUGCCACACCCCGUGCGCUGACCACUUUGUGA
rnacentral:rRNA from 1 species